CCUCAACACUUUUCUGCCAGCGAGGGGACAGAACAGGACACAGGAAAUGUAACCUCACCACUGCAAAACACAGAAAAAUAAACACUGCCCUGGUCCUGUUGGCAAUUUGUGGAAGCUCAGAGAGCCACCACACUCCAACCCCGGAUGGGCAGAGAUCUCUGUACUGAUCAACCUCUGUCAAAAUCAGCCAUGUGGCACCUGCCAGCUCAAUGGAACAUACCUCUGGGUGGGGUAUGGAGGCAUCAUUUCAAAAGGUGUGGAGAAUGUCAAAACUCAAACCUCUGGAACUAAGGGAAUAAAACAUGAAGGAAAUCACAGAAUUGGUCGAGUUGGAAGUACUUCAGUGCAUCAUGUGGUCCAACAUUCUUGUUCAAGCAGGUCAUCCUAAAGCUCAUGGCACACAAUAGGCCCCAGAAGAGGAAGGAAACCCCACAAUCUCUAUGGGCAAUCUGUUUCGGUGCUCCAACACUCCCACAGUAAAGGGGCUCUUCCUCAUAUUCAGGUUGAACUUCCUGUGUAUCAACUUCUGCCCAUCACCUUUGGUUCUGUUGUUUGGCACCACGAGGAAGAGUCUGGAAAUACCCUUAUGACACCCUCCCUUUAGAUAUUGAUGCACUUUAUUGAGUUAAUGUGAAUGGAGAUAGCUGGAAUAUAAACAGUGUAUUUUCUGCAAAACAGCCAGAAGAGAUCAUUCUCAGCCAUGCCUACAGCUCUUGCUAAACCUCACUAAGGUCUGUCAGAUUCUCUUGACCCAGGGUUAGUUGCCACUCAUGACUGGUGUUUGCAGUUUCCUCCCAUAAAGGUCUUAAGUCAGAUAACAAACAGGCUAAAAGCUUCCAGGACUGUUUUGUGGUGUGGUCAGAGUAAACAAUCACACUAGGCUUUUUGACCAUAAAAACUAUAAGGUUUUGAAUACUUCCUUAACAUUUCCUAAAGCAGCGCUCUUCUUCGUUUUCCUAGCAUAUCUCCACAGCAUAGGGAAUGCUAUAAUGUUAUGAUCUCCCAGAGGAAUAUCAUAGUCUAAUGAUCAAAUAAGGGAAAAAUAAGAGGAAAAUCUUAGAAACAAUAUAAGGAGUAUGAAAAUGAGUUAAGAAGUAAAAAGUAUUUAAAAGAUUCCACUGCACUAUCUUCCUGUUAUUUCUAUUUUUUACUUUGUUGAAAAGGGAGUCAUUGAUAAAUGUAAUGGCUUUCUCUAUUGUUCUUCUCUAAAGUUAUCUCUACAAGCUUGCUGACAUGUUACACGGGCAAAUAACUACUUUCCAAAUUAUGCUGGCAAAACCAGUAUUACAGGAAGAACGGUGCUGAUCAACACAUAGAAACAUACUAAAUAAAUUUAAAAGUUCUAAGCCAAUUUAUUUUCUCACUAAAGAGAUCUCAAAAAAUUAACACCACAGGAAAAAAAGGCAAAGAUUUAAUUGUAGAAUUGCUAUUUAUAUCAUUACUCAUUUUAUCUAUGAAACAUUCGGAUAAGGCUCAAAGUCUAAACUGAUUAUAUUCUGUGAGACUAAAAUGGAUUGACUAAAGAUUUUAAACUCCUAGGUAAGUAAAUAUCAAAGUCCCAUCUCAUGGUAACCAUAACAGUUAUUUCAAGACUUGAUAGAGGUACCUAUUUUUGACAUUUUACAUAAAGCUAGAAGAAAAUCUAUGUGAUACAGUGAAUGUAAAAUUAAAACAAGUAUCCUAACAUAGCAUUAAUAUAGUUUGUUUUUUUUUUUCAUAUAUCUGGGGAAUAAUAAAACCAGGUAUUUUUCCUGAGAGCUUUCUACCUAUCUGUUCCAUUUCCCCAUUUUUUUUACUGGCAGUGAUAUUCCUGCACCCUGAUGCUCUGUUUCUCUCCAUAGCUGGUCAAAGGGUUAGACUUAAUUUCUGAUUCAGUCAUCUGCCAGUUAGGCACCAGCAUACCACCCAUGUUGGAAUGGUGUCUGAACUCAAGUAUUAGGCACCCAGACUUAUCUGGUGCAUGUCCUGUUGGAAUAUGUGCCUUGGGCAAAAUGGAAGGUCCCUGGAGCAGAGACAGAGUGCACAGUGGAGGCAUUCUGCUCUCCCUGAGGAGCAGCAAAAGUUUUUUCAGAGUUUUCAAUAGAAAAACCAAUCCAUUUUAUGCAGACAAAGGCAGAAAAAACACACGUCCCAUGAAAAUAAUUUCUUUAGAAAACUCUUCAUCAAUUUACUAUGGGGGAUUUUCUAGGAGACCUUCGAUUUUUCAUUGUUCUGACACUAUUAUAAAAAUGCAGACUUUUUUUAAAAAACAACAAAAUAAAGUGGUGUUUGUGACAUUUUGGUCACAUUUUGGUGUUGGUGUUGGUGACAACAGCCUUAUAAAGAAGAUUUUGCAUAAAAAAUAAAUGACGAAGCUAGAGAACCUGCAUGGAAAAUUAAGCCUAUUUGAACCAUGCUGGACAGUAGCCCUUUGAUAAAACUCAUCUUAAAAGGAGGCUGUUGCUAGGAUACUAUGACUGCUGUCAUCAGUAUAAUGUGAUGGCAUGUACAUUUAUAUGUAUGUAUACGUAUAUAUAUAUUUUUUUUUAAUUAGAGCUCUUGACCGUUGAGCAGCACAAACUAUCAGCAAUGUUAUCAAACCUGUCAGGUAUGUUAAAGAUUGAAAAGAGCAUUCAAUUUCAUGCUGAAAAGACAAAGUGGAGUUAGUCUUCAAAGUGAAGCCCAUCAAAGAAUAUCACAAGAAACAGCCACAAUGCUUGUUAACUGCUUGAAUAGAAGAACAUAGACACAUGGCUCAGAAGCGAGCUGAAAACAGAAGCCAGAGUCCAAAGAUUGAACAGAUGCUGCUGAAGUGAGGGAAGUGGGUAGACAUUUCAUUCUGCUGGAAUCAAAGACAACUAAAACGAUAAGGACCAAAAAUGACCGUAAAUGAAUGUUAAAUUAGUUUUCUGAUUGGGAAUGGCUAGUUAGUAGAAAUUAUCAAAGUAGAGGAUAAAAGGGAUAUGUAGAAACUAUACAGAUCUGAAGUCAAAUUGGUUUACGGGCAAAAUUAUCACUGUUAACACAGCACAACAUCUCAACUAGAAGAGGCCGUUAGAUAGUCUUCAACACAUCUUCAUGUCAAAGAAAGUGUCCAAGACUCUCCAGGCUGUUCAGGUAUCUAUGCUAUCUAUUUCAGUGCAGUUUUGCCUCUGAGACUCUGGCCCUGCAGUCAGAGAAGAACAGUUCACAAAGAAAAUCAGCUUGCAUGACAAGUUUUGUACUCUGCCUGAGGAGGAGUGCAAAGGUCAAUUCUCUUUUCCAUGUGUCUGAUUCUUUAUUUGAGGUGCUACUUUCGGACAUGUUUAUUAUACUAACCAAAAUUAAUAACCAGCAUAACAGAGC